GACUGAAGCAUCGCUCCGCCGGCGAGGCGCUGGGCUGCUGGUUUGCUUGCAGCGGUUGCCCCAGAGCGGUGGAGCCCGGGCAUUGCCAUGGAAGACAUGGUCUUCUUCCUGCCUAGUAUGAAGAUUCAAAGAUACCAGCUACAGUGGUAGCAGAGCAGACUGCCUGCCUUCUGGAGACUGAAGUUUCCAUGUCUCAGCCUCUGUUGGAAAGCGGUCCCAGCUGUGCAGAGAAUGCUUCUUUCCACUGGAGAGUGACUUUGGCAAGAAACA